AACGAACGCUGGCGGCGCGUCUUAAACAUGCAAGUCGAACGAGAAUCCCAGUGCUUGCAUUGGGAGGAAAGUGGCGAACGGGUGAGUAACACGUGGAUAAUCUACCUCCGGGAUGGGGACAACCAUUGGAAACGGUGGUUAAUACCGAAUAAUAUGGCUGUUACACAAGUAAUAGCUAUCAAAGGUGGGACCGCAAGGCCUACUGCCUGGAGAUGAGUCCGCGGCCCAUUAGCUAGUUGGCGGGGUAAUGGCCCACCAAGGCUACGAUGGGUAGCCGGCCUGAGAGGGUGUCCGGCCACAUUGGGACUGAGAUACGGCCCAGACUCCUACGGGUGGCAG
rnacentral:rRNA from 1 species